rnacentral:rRNA from 1 species
AUGCUGCUCCAGCGCGCGCGGAGAUAUGACGUACACCCCAUCAUCUAUGGGGUACUGUUGACCAACAGACGGGGAGAAGCUCUAGGCCUUUACAAGCAUGUCCAAAUGGCACUUCCAGUUCCAGACAGAACGAUCAAUGUUGUGGACCACCAGUUGUUAUCAGAGGACAAAGAUGGAGUAGAAGCAAACACCUCAAACCCUGGCAGGAAAAGAGAUAUAUCAAUUGCUUGCAGCCUUGCACCACUUCAAUUCAGCACAUUGGAGUUUCAUGCUCAAAGGAAACUCCAAUAA